rnacentral:rRNA from 1 species
AGCGAACGUUAGCGGCGCGCCUAACACAUGCAAGUCGCACGAGAAACGGAGCAAUCCGCGGUACAGUGGCGCACGGGUGAGUAACACGUGGAUGACCUUCCCUGGAGUGGUGGAUAACCUGCCGAAAGGCGGGCUAAUACAGCAUGGGACCACGACGCUUUGGCGAUGUGGUGAAAGCGGGCCUCUAUAUAUAAGCUCGCGCUCCGGGACGGGUCCGCGUCCCAUCAGCUAGUUGGUGAGGUAACGGCUCACCAAGGCAACGACGGGUAGCUGGUCUGAGAGGAUGGCCAGCCACACUGGAACUGAGACACGGUCCAGACUCCUACGGGAGGCAGCAGUGAGGAAUCUUGCGCAAUGGGCGAAAGCCUGACGCAGCGACGCCGCGUGGGCGAAGAAGGCCU